rnacentral:rRNA from 1 species
UACGUAGGGGGCAAGCGUUGUCCGGAAUUAUUGGGCGUAAAGAGCGCGUAGGCGGUCCGAUAAGUCGGCUGUGAAAGUCAGGGGCUCAACCCUUGGAAGCCGGCCGAUACUGUCGGACUAGAGUCCGGAAGAGGCGAGUGGAAUUCCCGGUGUAGCGGUGAAAUGCGCAGAUAUCGGGAGGAACACCAAUGGCGAAGGCGGCCAUCUGGACCGCAACUGACGCUGAGGCGCGAAAGCGUGGGGAGCAAACAGG